GCUAUGUUGGCAGAGAAGUGCGUUAAAUUUAAGCUUUAAAGUAUGCGAGUAGUAACCUUGUGCAUAGCU
rnacentral:tRNA from 1 species